GCUCAGGUAGCUCAGAUGGUAGAGCGUCCGGUUGAAGCCCGGAAGGUCGGCAGCUCGAUACUGCCCCUGAGCACAA
rnacentral:tRNA from 1 species